rnacentral:rRNA from 1 species
GGGAAAGGCGAAAAGAACCCCGGAGAGGGGAGUGAAAUAGAACCUGAAACCGUAUGCGUACAAGCAGUAGGAGCCCGUCAGCCGUCAAAAGCGGGGUGACUGCGUACCUUUUGUAUAAUGGGUCAGCGACUUACAGUCUGUGGCGAGCUUAACCGUCUAGGGUAGGCGAAGGGAAACCGAGUCUGAAUAGGGCGAAUAGUCGCAGGCUGUAGACCCGAAACCGGGUGAUCUAGCCAUGACCAGGGUGAAGGUCCGGUAACACGGACUGGAGGCCCGAACCCACUCCCGUUGCAAAGGUAGGGGAUGAGUUGUGGCUAGGAGUGAAAAGCUAAUCGAACCCGGAGAUAGCUGGUUCUCCUCGAAAGCUAUUUAGGUAGCGCCUUGCGUAUCACUGCUGGGGGUAGAGCACUGUUAUGGCUAGCGGGUCAUUGCGACUUAGCAAACCAUGGCAAACUCCGAAUACCAGCACGUGCGAGCGCAGGAGACACACGGCGGGUGCGAACGUCCGUCGUGAAAAGGGAGACAACCCAGACCCGCAGCUAAGGUCCCAAAUUCACGGCUCAGUGGAAAACGAUGUGGGAAGGCAUAGACAGCCAGGAGGUUGGCUUAGAAGCAGCCACCCUUUAAAGAAAGCGUAAUAGCUCACUGGUCGAGUCGGCCCGCGCGGAAGAUUUAACGGGGCUAAGCCGUGAACCGAAGCUCGGGGUGUGCACACUUCGGUGUGUACGCGGUAGAGGAGCGUCGUGUAAGCCUGCGAAGGUGGGUCGAAAGGCCUGCUGGAGGUAUCACGAGUGCGAAUGCUGACAUGAGUAACGAUCAUGCGGGUGAAAAGCCCGCACGCCGAAAGCCCAAGGUUUCCUAGCGCAACGUUCAUCGGCGCAGGGUGAGUCGGUCCCUAAGGCGAGGCAGAAAUGCGUAGUCGAUGGGAAGCUGGUUAAUAUUCCAGCACCUCGCGUGACUGCGAUGGGGUGACGGAGAAGGGUAGGUGUACCGGGCGUUGGUUGUCCCGGGGAAAGCCGGUAGGCGGUGGGAACAGGAAAAUCCGUUCCCACAUACGCCGAGCAGCGAGACCAGGCUCGUUAGAGCCGAAGUCACUGAUCCCACGCUUCCAGGAAAAACCUCUAAGCUUCAGGUCACGCAGACCGUACCGCAAUCCGACACAGGUAGGCAGGGUGAGAAUCCCAAGGCGCUUGAGAGAACUCGGGUGAAGGAACUAGGCAACAUGGCACCGUAACUUCGGGAGAAGGUGCGCCUUCAUUGGUGGUAACACGCGUUACUGGGCUGAUGAAGGCCGCAGUGCCCAGGCCGCUGCGACUGUUUAUCAAAAACACAGCACUCUGCAAACACGAAAGUGGACGUAUAGGGUGUGACGCCUGCCCGGUGCCGGAAGGUUAAUUGAUGGGGUCAGCCGCAAGGCGAAGCUCUUGAUCGAAGCCCCGGUAAACGGCGGCCGUAACUAUAACGGUCCUAAGGUAGCGAAAUUCCUUGUCGG